AAUUAGCAAACACCUGCUGUAACUGUGCAUGUGCUGAGCUCGUUAUAGGAGCUACUUAGUGCAAAGCUGGUAAAAUGUUGUUAUAUGGCUAAUUGAGGAGUGACGUGAUGACUUCCUGAAGGACAAAAGCCCUCCGACUCUACAGUGCAUGCUUACAGACACGUCGAUGUGCAGAGACGCAAAAUGACAAAACCCCAGGAAGACAAAAAGAGAAGUCUGUGUGGACUCACUGUGGUUUAAUGCUAAAAAAGCAAACCCGCCAAAACCUGUGGUCACCGACCGCACUAAUGCGCUUUGGUGCAAAUCAUCUCAGCACAUCAGCAGCAGAGUAACAGAACAGAAUUCAGCGAGAACUCAGCUAUGAGUUCAAUCGUCUGUUUUAACACAUCGUCACAUCAGCUCUUCACAGCCUUUGCAGCAGUGUCAGAGAGAGGAGGGCAGAAAGAGGAACGCAAAGCAGAGAGUGCAGCCGCUUUGUGAUCAGCCGAUUCUCCCCCGUGACACAGCAGCCGGUGAGGAGGCGACUCCGGCUCCAUGGCCUCUCUGAUAACCCAACUCGAGGCGUGGACCAUCAUGUUCUCCAUCCUGGUUUUUGCGCUCUUCACACUCGCUGGGAUGAUCAGCGAGGACUGUCCGCAAACUAAAGAAAAUACUGAGAGAACCAAGAGCCAGGAGAUGUUGGUGUGACUCAGCAGCUAAUGCUCAGCUUGUGAGAAAAGCUCAGCUUGUUCCUGUCUCAGUGUAACCUGCUUCCAGGAUGAGGCACAAAGGAGUGGCCAAAUUGUUCAACUAAAAAAAGCAAGAAAGAGACACGUGCUCAAACUAAGUGGCUCACAACAGCAUCGCCUCGCCGCUCGUCCUGUAGGAUGUCCAGAGACAGCACCAGCAGAUUCCUCUGUGAACUUUGAACCUGGAGAACAGCCUGUGUGUAUCUCCCAUCGGCAGCUGUGUAGAUGGAAGUGCCAUUCUCUGGCUUUGAGCUCACCUUCAUCAUCUUAGCCUUCGUCAUCUUCUCCCUGUUCAGUCUGGCUUCAGUCUGCAUCCAGAAAGAGGAAGACCCAACAGAAGAUGCUGCAUAUGAAAACAAGAAGUUAAAACAACUAGUGAAGAAGAAGCAGAGAGAGAUCACCAAACAGGCUGGACAGAAGGCUUAAAGCUGGGAUCAGAGCUGAACUGGGACUGGAGAUCAACUUCCUGCUUCUCUGUGUUUUAUGUAGAAGUUAGCAAUUUGUCUUUGCCCAAUGAACUAUAAACUCCCCUCAUUAAAGGGGCAGUGUUAUAUAAGAUGGACUUUUUUGAGAUUUGCAUCAUGUUAUUUUCUAAUCAAAAACAUAACGUGUUGCCUUGAUUCACUCAUGAAUGUUUGAGAAAUCCUUUAAUCUCCCGUGGCAACCGUUGAGCUGGGUAAAAUGUCUGUGUGGACCUAGCAAUGCUUCCUUGGAGUUGCAGUUUCCAAGUUUCUACCUCACCCACUCAGCUCCUUCAGACUAGUGGCCCAAUGGACAAUGCAAGGCUAAAGGAAUACAAAUGACCUCAACACAGAAGAACAGUUCUUUAUGGAGCCUAAUUAAAGUGAACAACAACCAAUAAAGACAGCAGAUGGAAAAAAA